CCUACGGGGGGCAGCAGUGAGGAAUAUUGGUCAAUGGACGAGAGUCUGAACCAGCCAAGUAGCGUGAAGGAUGACUGCCCUAUGGGUUGUAAACUUCUUUUAUAUGGGAAUAAAAUGUUCCACGUGUGGGAUUUUGUAUGUAUCAUAUGAAUAAGGAUCGGCUAACUCCGUGCCAGCAGCCGCGGUAAUACGGAGGAUCCGAGCGUUAUCCGGAUUUAUUGGGUUUAAAGGGAGCGUAGGUGGAUUGUUAAGUCAGUUGUGAAAGUUUGCGGCUCAACCGUAAAAUUGCAGUUGAAACUGGCAGUCUUGAGUACAGUAGAGGUGGGCGGAAUUCGUGGUGUAGCGGUGAAAUGCUUAGAUAUCACGAAGAACUCCGAUUGCGAAGGCAGCUCACUGGACUGAAACUGACACUGAGGCUCGAAAGUGUGGGUAUCGAACAGGAUUAGAUACCCGAGUAGUC
rnacentral:rRNA from 1 species